rnacentral:rRNA from 1 species
UACGGGGGGGGCAAGCGUUGUUCGGAAUUACUGGGCGUAAAGGGCUCGUAGGUGGCCAACUAAGUCAGACGUGAAAUCCCUCGGCUUAACCGGGGAACUGCGUCUGAUACUGGAUGGCUUGAGGUUGGGAGAGGGAUGCGGAAUUCCAGGUGUAGCGGUGAAAUGCGUAGAUAUCUGGAGGAACACCGGUGGCGAAGGAGGCAUCCUGGACCAAUUCUGACGCUGAGGAGCGAAAGCCAGGGGAGCAAACGGG